rfam:Proteus penneri ATCC 35198 genomic scaffold Scfld4, whole genome shotgun sequence.
CCAUCAUCACCAUCACCCUGACUAGUCUUUCAGGCGAUGAGUGCUGGAAGACGUUUAAGAAACGCUUCCGGUGGUCUGAAUGCAGAUAACAACUAAAACCCCGGAAGGCAACUUCCGGGGUUUUUUUAUA